rnacentral:rRNA from 1 species
ACGAGCUAACUGAAGAUAAGAAUCUAACGUAAGGUCACUGACACUUAUAUAUUACUUUACUAUCCUAUCAUUAUUUUUAUUUUGUUAAAUUAUAAUUUUUGGCCUCCGAGUAAUUUAUUGAGGAGAGUAGUUUUAUUUAUUAUAUAUUAAUUUAUAAUAUAAUAGGAAGAUAGUCUGGAAGUAUAUAAGAAUAAUGAUAUACCCUUACUAAUAGUGUCGUCCAAAACCUGGUGCCAGCAGACUCGGUAACACCAGAGACGCGAACGUUAAUCAUCUUGAAUGGGCAUAAAGGGUUUGUAGGCAGCUUUAAUUUAUUAAAGAUAGAAUCUAAUAGAGGUUUAUAGAAUGCUUAGUGUAGGGCUAAUAUCCGCAAAUUCUAAGUGGACUACUAGAGGCGAAGGCGAUACUCCUUAAAAGAUUGACGCUGAGAAACGAGGGUUGGGAUCGGAAAUAGGAUUAGAGACCCUAGUACCCCCAACUGUAAACGAUGAAUGGAAGAUAUUUAUCUUGGUAAGUAUCGAAGUGAACUACGAUAACCAUUCCGCCUUGCGAGUAUACUUGCAAAAGUGAAAGC